AGGGGUAUAGCUCAGUAGUAGAGCAUGUGCUUAGCAUGCACAAGGUCCCAGGUUCAAUUCUCAGUACCUCCA
rnacentral:tRNA from 1 species